UGCUGGACUAUCUGGACUAUACCAACAUCAUAAUGAUGGGCGAUAUGAAUGGGGUGGUUUCUACUCACAUGGAUAAGUCACAAAAUCAAAAUUUAACUAAAGACGGCAGACUACCUAAAACCUUCUUUGAACUAACUGAUAACAUGGACUUGAUUGAUAUUUGGAGGACAAGGAACCCCUUAGGUAAAGAAGGAACAUUCUUUUCUGAGGCCCACCUAUCAUGGACAAGAAUCGACCAAAUAUGGACAACUAGAGGACUGGCACCUAAGAUCAGAAAAGUGGAAAUCUGUCCAAAGACUUGCUCCGACCAUAAUGCUUUGAAAGUAGAAUUGAGACUUACUCCAACCGGUUCUUUCAGAUGGAAAAUGAAUGACACCCUACUAAGAGAUCAGGAGAUUGUGAAGAAGGCCCAAAAAACCUUAAAGGACUACUUUGAAAUCAAUUUGAACACUUCGGUGGAAAAGAGAACAAUCUGGGACGCAAGUAAAGCUGUAAUGAGGGGGUUUCUGAUACAACAGAACACAAUC